UUAAUAUUUAUUUUUUAGUUUUUGGCGGACACAACAUCUUUGUUUGUAUGUGGUGCUGAGGAUCGAACCUGGGGCCGUACACAUGCCAGGCGAGCGCACUACCGCUUGAGCCACAUCUCCAGCCCUACAGGUAUCUCUUGACUCAUUAACACUGAAUGAGAAUUUUGAACCUUUUAUAAUCUCAUCUCACUCUGUUCUAGUUCUUCAUUAAAUUGAUAUCAAUGGUUGCAUUAGUAUGCCCAUGUGAAUAUUUCCUAGAUAGCUAAGUAAUCUAUAUUUUCUAAGUAAAAAAAAGAAAUUUAUUUAUCUGUUUAUUUUUGGUGUAAUGGGAAUCGAAUUCAGGGCCUCACACAUGCUAGGCCUAAAAAUUCUCCCACCCAUCCUUAAAAAUUCUCUUUAUUUGAUUAAUUUCCUUUUACCCGUGUCUCAUCUUCCUAAUCCUUUAAUAACCUUUCAAAAUGAGUUUUUGCACAAACCAUCAGAGAGAUAAUCUUUUGUUUUUCUGGACAUCUCUUCUAGACGUUUUCUUCUUGGCUUUAGUAACAUCUGGUAAUAAUUGGGCCUGUUGCAUAGAUGUUGUCUUGGGAAUUCCUAGGUAUUAUUUUCUGUGUUUAAUACUGUUUUUUGUCAUAUCUUUGUUGACUUACUGCCUUGCAGAAUAUCAUACCCUAGCUUUUUGCAGAAAGGGUGGUGGUAAAGGAAAGUGUUUCAUGAUUGAUUGUCCUUUAAAAAAAAUUAACAACAUAGGGGCUGGGGAUGUAGCUCAGUUGGUAGAAUGCUUGCCUCACAUGCACAAGACCCUGGAUUUGAUCAAAGUGAGUGUUCUGUCUCUGAGCUACUUCCCCUACCUCUUGACAGUGUUUUAAUUCUUCUCUUUCAUUCAUUCAGUUUAGUGACAGGGCAUAGAAUUUUAGGUUGAAAACAAUUUUCCCCUUAUAAUUUUGAAAGCAUUACCCAUUUUAAUUUUUUAAAUUUCUAGUAACAAAUUUUGUAAUAAUAACAUUAUUGGGUGAGUCUUUUUAAAUAAAUCCACUGUUUUAGUUACUUGGUAGGCCUUUGUAGAUCCUUUAAUUCUUCAAGUUUUCCUGUGUGUGUGUGUAUUCUUGUAAUUUUUUUCCCCUUGAUUUUCUGUUUUCUUUUUAAUUGGAUUCCUGGACUGAUUAUC
rnacentral:lncRNA from 1 species